GAAGAGUAAAGCUAUUGCAUUGUUGGAGGUGAUUGAGGACGGAUCAAGCAACACCAGUUUGCGGUUUGAUUCUUUACAAUCUUCAUAAAUUGAUGGCUUCUGGAUUGCAUUCGGUUAGUUAGUUCUUUCUCUUAUACUAAAGAAUUGAUUUCUUUUUAGUUUUAGAUGUAUAUUGUACAAAGUAGCUGCUGAAUUUCUAUUCAUAAUAGCACAUGAAAAGGUAAAGAGAGGAAUGUAGAUUGACAAUGGAAUGAUAAUAAUAUUAAUGAUUGUAAAUUUUAUCUCUCACUGGUUUUACAUUUUCUGAACGUUUUUCUUUAAUGGUGCCUGAAAAACAUUGCAAUUAUUUCCAGAGUUCUUUACCACUCUUGCUUACGAUGCUUUAUCAUUGAUGAUCCAUGUGAUGUCUUGUGUGGCUUGCAUCAGUGACCCAUGCUUCAGAGAAAAGGUUGAACUAUACCUGGCAAUAUGGACAAAUGAUGCUUUAUUUAUUCAUCUCGAUUGUGAAUUUUUCCAUCAUGUCUUGGUAUGCUACUACCACUAUAAUGUCUAGAAACAAUUGUAUAAGAACUAGUCGUUAUGGAACGCUAGAUAUGGUACAAAUUUUCUCUACAAUGCUUUAUUCUAAGCUGCUGAGUGGUGAAAACUUUUCCUUUGAACUAUUUCACAAGCACAUACAGGGACAUCUGCAAACCACCUUCAGUUUUCCUUAACACUUGUCUAAUUUUUUUCUUUUAUAGACCUUAGCAAGUGAUCCCAUGUCUGAUCCCUAAACUUAAUAAUGAUUGGUUUGAUUUCUAUUUAAAAGUAAAUAACUGAAAACUUAUCAUCCAUAUUCCAAGCUAGGAGGCAAGAUUCAAACUAAGCAAAACAGUGUGAUUAAGAUUUUCUAAAGUCUUAUAAUUAAUCUGCGCAUGGAAAGUAAACCAAUUAGAAACGUGAAAAUCUACUGUAGGGAACAGAUUCAAACUGAACAAAGCAGUACUGAUAAAAUCUUUUAAAAGCUUACCUUUAAUUUUUGGUUUGAUAAUAUUCUAUCAUCCUUGUAGGCUGCCCUGAAUAUCCUUGUUCCACAAUCCUCUUUUGUGGAUCUUAGAUCCAUCUAUACUGUUAAACUAUGAAGAGACUUCUGUUGACAUCACUGGAACUGAAAAUGAUCCAUUGCCCGCACCUUAAUCUCUUUCUUUCUGUCAAUUCUGUAUGAAUCAAAUGAUAAAUAAAGAUAGUUUCAGCAAGCUGAAGGAGCAGUAAGGCUCAGUCUAUAUGAUUUCAGAUUAAUUCUGAUAUUAGUUGAGGCUUGA
rnacentral:lncRNA from 1 species